CCCAAGGCUGGCUGAGGCGCUCCGGCCACUCUUCGACAACCUGUCCUCCUUUCGGUUCUUCCAAACGGUGAUGGAGGUACUGGUGGAACGGGGAACAAAGCCCUUGGAGAUGCAGGUGCACCAGAGCCUGGUGCUGUGGUUCUUCCUGCAGUAUGAUGAGCACCAGUGCGUGGCAGAGGUGCCGACCAUCGUGAGAUCCAUGCACCAGUGCCUCACCUCCCCCAUGGCUCCAGAUGGCAGGACCCACAAUAACAUCCGCAG